rnacentral:rRNA from 1 species
AUUGAACGCUGGCGGCAUGCCUUACACAUGCAAGUCGAACGGCAGCACGGGAGCAAUCCUGGUGGCGAGUGGCGAACGGGUGAGUAAUACAUCGGAACGUGCCCAGUAGUGGGGGAUAGCCCGGCGAAAGCCGGAUUAAUACCGCAUACGACCUGAGGGUGAAAGCGGGGGAUCGCAAGACCUCGCGCUAUUGGAGCGGCCGAUGUCGGAUUAGCUAGUUGGUGGGGUAAAGGCUCACCAAGGCAACGAUCCGUAGCUGGUCUGAGAGGACGACCAGCCACACUGGGACUGAGACACGGCCCAGACUCCUACGGGAGGCAGCAGUGGGGAAUUUUGGACAAUGGGCGCAAGCCUGAUCCAGCCAUGCCGCGUGCGGGAAGAAGGCCUUCGGGUUGUAAACCGCUUUUGUCAGGGAAGAAACGCUCUGGGCUAAUACCCCGGGGUAAUGACGGUACCUGAAGAAUAAGCACCGGCUAACUACGUGCCAGCCGCCGCUAGUAAUAC